CUAUCGCGCCUUCGCCACGCCGCUCAGAAACUUAAAGGAAGUCGAGGGCCCCGCACAAGCAGCGGAGCGUGUGGUUUAAUUCGAUGCUACACGAAGAACCUUACCAGGGUUUGACAUACAAGUAGUAGGGAAAGGAAACUGGACCGACCCUUCGGGGAGCUUGAACAGGUGCUGCAUGGCUGUCGUCAGCUCGUGUCGUGAGAUGUUCGGUUAAGUCCGCUAACGAGCGCAACCCUCGCUGUGUGUUACAAGUGUCACACGGAACUGCCGGUCAUAAACCGGAGGAAGGUGGGGAUGACGUCAAGUCAGCAUGGCCUUUAUAUCCUGGGCUACACACACGCUACAAUGGGAAGGGACAAUAGGUUGCGAAACCGCGAGGUGGAGCCAAUCCAGCAAAACUUCCCUCAGUUCAGAUUGCAGGCUGCAACUCGCCUGCAUGAAGUUGGAGUUGCUAGUAAACGCAGGUCAGCCAUACUGCGUUGAAUACGUUCCCGGGGCUU
rnacentral:rRNA from 1 species